AACGAACGCUGGCGGCAUGCCUAACACAUGCAAGUCGAACGAGACCUUCGGGUCUAGUGGCGCACGGGUGCGUCACGCGUGGGAACCUGCCCUUAGGUUUGGAAUACCUCUCCGACAGGGGUGCUAAUACCGGAUAAUGUCUUCGGACCAAAGAUUUAUCGCCUUGGGAUGGGCCCGCGUUGGAUUAGCUAGUUGGUAGGGUAAAAGCCUACCACGGCGACGAUCCAUAGCUGGUUAGAGAGGAUGGGCAGCCACACUGAGAGUGGGACGCGGCCCAGACUCCUACGGGAGGCAGCAGAGGGUAAUAUUGGACAAUGGGCGGAGGCCUGAUGCAGCAAUGCCGGGUGAGUGAUGAAGGCCUUAGAGUUGUAAAGCUCUUUUACCCGGGAUGAUAAUGACGGUACCGAGAGAAUAAGCACCGGCUAACUCCGUG
rnacentral:rRNA from 1 species